rnacentral:lncRNA from 1 species
AACCACACUCUAUUAUUAUUAACAGUUUUCUGUCAAAACAAACCCUUAAGGUCCUUAACUAUUGGCUUGCAGCCACAUAUAAUUACUGUGGUGACCUUCUCGAAUCAUCAAUUUUUAUUCAUUUAAGUUGUUGAUCAACUGCCGCAGGCAAGUUAUUCUCCUGAACUCGAAUCCCAUCAAGUAAUUGUCUCAAUUCCGCAUGUAAACAAACAAAGGCUCACAAAACUCUCCAAAAUAUACGCAUUAAUUAAUUCUUUGCUUCUUUUCCCAUUAUAAGAAGAAGAAAGCCGUCUAAUUUGUUAAAGUAUAAGUGUUUUUAGCUGAGUGUGUUUUGUUUAAUUGUGAACCAUUGGAUCACAGUCCAAUGGACAGCUGAGAUGUAUUCUUAGUUUUAGUAGAAUUGUGCCAAGUGUAGCUAUCUCAUAGGAUAGCUUAAUCAGUGGUUAGAUUGGAUGAUGUAAGAGGAAUAUUCUAUUCCUAACGGUUAUAUUGUACUGCACAGCUUGUGCAUGACUAAGUAAGAGAGAUAACAGACUCAUUUUUCAUCUUCUUCUUCUCCAAGUUUUCUCUCUGUGUUUUCUCUUCCUACAUGAGCUCCAUCUACCAAUAAUCCAAAACCUAAAAACAGAUCAUAGUCUGUGAAUUCUAACAUGGUAUCAGCUGCCUGGUUGAUUAUUUAGCUGGGCAUUUGAAUCUGUGAAGGAAGGGAGCUGCGAUUUCUGACGAACUUACUUUCUUGGAGAUCUGUGUCUAACAUGGCCGGAUCUGGAGGUGGUGAGCUGCGAGCUCCGAUCUUCAAUGGUGAGAACUAUGAGUUCUGGAGCAUAAGGAUGAAAACCAUUUUCAAAUCUCAUGGGCUUUGGGAAUUGGUUGAGAAAGGAAUAGGAAGCUCAGAUUCGAAGGGAGAUGAUGAAUCUGAUGCAAAGCAGAAAGAAAAAGAGGAACUGAGUGGUGCUGGGAAGAUGGCUCUAGCUGAGAUCCUGAUGAAAGAUGCUAAGGCCUUGGGGUUGAUUCAAGGAGCUGUAUCUGAAGGGAUCUUCCCUAGGAUUUCUCAUGAAGAAUCAUCUCAUGGAGCUUGGAACAUUCUGAAGCAGGAAUUUCAUGGUGAUAAGCAGGUAAGGAGUGUAAAAUUACAGAGUCUUCGUAGAGAAUUUGAAUAUACUAGAAUGAGAGAGGAUGAAUCUCUAUCUGCUUAUCUUACCAAGUUGUUUGAUCUGAUAAAUCAAAUGAGAGGUUAUGGAGAAGAGUUAUCUAGAGAAAGAAUUGUGCAGAAAAUGUUAAUUAGCCUGCUGCCUGUGUAUGAUCCAAUCUGUUCUGUAAUUGAACACUCAAGGGAUCUAGAUGUAAUUGAGGUUCAAGAGGUGGUGGCCUCAUUGAAGAGCUUUGCUCAAAGACUGGAAAGACAUCAUGAGAACUCGACUGAGAAGGCCUUUGCUAGUCUGAGUGUGGAUUCCAAAUCAGCUAAGGCUACUGGAAAUCAGAACAACAAGCAGCAGAAGAAUUGGAAGGAUAAGGGGAAGAAGUGGGAUAAUAAACCUGCUGAUGGAACUAAAAAUCCUUGCAAACAUUGUGGGAAAUUGCAUUAUGGAGAAUGUAGAUUCAAGGGUAAACCGAAGUGCUAUAACUGUGACAAGCUUGGUCACAUUGCCAAAGACUGCUAUAGUAAGAAAACUGUGCACCAGCAGCAGCUUCAGUAUGCUACUCAGGUUACCACUACACCAACCAUGUUCUAUGUUAACAAUGCAACUGAGAAAAGGUCCAUGGAAGAGGUAUGGUACUUGGACAGUGGGUGUAGUAACCACAUGACUGGCAGAGAAGACAUCUUGAUUGAUAUUGAUAGGAAUGUGAUAGCAAAAGUUGGAAUGGGAACAGGACAGUUGGUUGAUGUUAUUGGAAAAGGAAGCUUGAUGGUUGAAACUAAAAUGGGAAGGAAAUAUAUCAAGGAGGUGCUGCUGGUAUCUGGUCUCAAAGAGAACCUACUUAGUGUAGGACAAAUGAUGGAACAUGGAUAUGUUCUAAUCUUUGGAGAUAACAAAGCAGAGGUUUAUGAUGAUAGCUCUCUCUCAAAUCUGGUGGCUAGAGUGCAUAUGAAAGGAAAUAGAAGUUUUCCUUUGAAACUUGACACAGACUUACAUGUUGCACUAACAGCAAGCAUAAGUCAAUCCACAUUGCUUUGGCAUAGGAGAAUGAGACACUUAAACUUCCAGAGUUUGAAACUGUUGCAGAAUGAAGACAUGGUGCUUGGUCUGCUAGAAAUUAAAAAUGCAAAUGCAGUGUGUGAAGGCUGUACUUUUGGAAAACAGUGCAGGAAGGCUUUUCCAAAAGAAGCAACCAGCAGAGUUACAACUCCACUGGAAUUGGUACACACUGAUGUGUGUGGCCCAAUGCAAACUGUUACAAAAGCAGGAAACAGGUAGUUCCUUACUUUUAUAGAUGAUUGUACACGAAUGUGCUGGAUCUAUUUCUUGAGAUGCAAAUCUGAGGUAUUCACAGUGUUUAAGAGGUUUAGAGCCACUGUUGAAUUGCAAAGUGGAUAUAAGGUGAAGAAGCUAAGAAGUGAUAGGGGAGGAGAGUACACCACUAAUGAGUUCAAUAAAUUCUGUGAUGAAAUGGGAAUGGAGAGGCAGCUUACAGUGGCAUACUCACCACAGCAGAAUGGUGUGGCUGAGAGGAAGAACAAAACCAUAGUGGAGAUGGCCAAGUGUAUGAUGUUUGAGAAGGGCAUGCCACUUGAGUUUUGGGCAGAAGCUUAAUACUGCAGUGUAUGUUCUAAACCGAAGUCCAACUAAAGCUUUGGACAAGAAAACACCAUUUGAAGCCUAUAGUGGGAGAAAGCCAGGACUUAAACACUUAAGAGUGUUUGGAUCUUUGUGCUAUGCACAUGUUCCAAACCCACAAAGGCAGAAACUAGAUUUAACAAGCAAAAUGUGUGUGUUUCUAGGAUAUGGCAGCUGUGAGAAGGGGUAUAGAUUGUAUAACAUUACCACUGAAAAGGUGAUUAUCUCAAGGGAUGUGGUAUUUAAUGAAGAUGCUCAUUGGGAUUGGAAUGCACAGCAAGAAUGCAGUGUUUCUGUGGCACUUCCUGAAUUUGUGACUGAAAAGGAGGAAGGGAGCAAUGACACAGUUGUGAAGCAAGCAGAACAUUCAGUUGAGAAUGAGGUGUUAUUCGAAGACAAUGAAGAAAGAUCUGUGAUUGACACAGGUACUCAAGAUAUUGACCACACCCCAUUGAAAUACAAAAGUCUUACAGAGAUCUAUGAAAGAUGCAACAUCUGUAUCAUUGAACCAGAAACCUAUGAAGAAGCUAUCAAGGAUGCAGCAUGGCAAAAGGCAAUGGAAACUGAACUUGAGAUGAUUGAGAAGAAUGAAACUUGGGAAUUGGUAAAAAGACCAUCUGAUAAACCUAUAGUUGGAGUCAAAUGGAUCUUUAAAGUCAAGCUAAAUCUGGAUGGAUCAGUUCAGAAAAACAAAGCAAGGCUAGUAGCUAAAGGCUACACUCAAAAGCCAGGAAUUGAUUUCAAUGAGACAUUUGCACCAGUUGCUCGGCUUGAUACAGUGAGAACACUAAUAGCUUUGGCUGCUCAGAAAAGAUGGAAGUUGUUUCAGCUUGAUGUAAAGUCAGCUUUCUUAAAUGGAGUGUUACAUGAGGAGGUGUAUGUGGAUCAACCUCCAGGAUUUGUGGUUAAAGACAAGGAAGACAGAGUUUAUAGACUCAAGAAGGCUCUUUAUGGUCUUAAAUAAGCUCCAAGAGCUUGGUAUGAAGAAAUUAAUUCAUAUUUUACAGCUGCAGGAUUUCAGAGGAGUCCUAGUGAGGCUACAUUAUAUGUGAAAGCUGCAGAAAGUGGAAUCCUAAUUGUUUCACUAUAUGUAGAUGAUAUCAUCUACACAGGAAGUUCUGAAGAAUUGGUAAUGAACUUUAAAACUGAAAUGAUGAAAAGAUAUGAAAUGACUGAUCUGGGAUUGUUGCACCAUUUUCUAGGAUUGGGUGUGAUACAAGCUGAGUCCUACAUCUUCUUGCAUCAGAAAAAAUAUGCAAGAACAUUGUUGGACAAGUUUGGUUUCAAAGACUGUAAAGUAGUGUCAACUCCACUAGCUAUGAAUGAGAAAUUAUCCAAGGAGGAUGGAAGUGAACAGGCUGAUGAAAACGUGUACAGACAGAUAGUUGGAAGCUUGCUAUAUCUGACAGCAACAAGGCCAAAUGUCAUGUUUGCUGCAAGUCUUUUGGCUAGAUAUAUGCAUGGACCUACAAAGAAACACAUGGGAACUGCCAAGUGAGUACUUAGAUACAUUCAAGGUACUCUAGACUAUGGCAUAUUAUAUGAGAAAGGAAAAGAGACAAUGCUGGUUGGAUAUUGUGACAGUGAUUGGUUAGGUUGUGAAGAUGAUAUGAGGAGUACUUCUGGCUAUGCUUUUCAUCUUGGAUCAGGUGUUUUCUCUUGGGCAUCUAUUAAGCAGAGCAGUGUAGCACUAUCUACUACAGAGGCAGAAUAUGUUAGUACAGCUGAAGCUACAGCUCAAGCUGUUUGGUUAAGAUUUGUUCUAUCUGAUUUUGGUGAGGAACAAGUUGAGGCUACUCCAAUCCUAUGUGACAAUACUUCAGCAAUUGCAAUAACAAAGAAUCCUGUGCAUCAUCACAGGACAAGACAUAUAAGUAGAAGAUUUCAUUUCAUUCGUGAUGCUUUGCAAAAUGGUGAGAUUGAUCUAUUAUACUGCAGAACUGGAGAGCAGAAUGCAGAUAUCUUUACUAAGGCAUUAGCAAGGGAUCGGUUUGAAUAUCUAAGGGGCAAGCUUGGAGUCAUCUCAGCUAAACACUUAGAAGGGAGUGUUAAAGUAUAUAUAAGUGUUUUUAGCUAAGUGUGUUUUGUUUAAUUGUGAACCAUUGGAUCACAGUCCAAUGGACAGCUGAGAUGUAUUCUUAGUUUUAGUAGAAUUGUGCCAAGUGUAGCUAUCUCAUAGGAUAGCUUAAUCAAUGGUUAGAUUGGAUGAUGUAAGAGGAAUAUUCUAUUCCUAACGGUUAUAUUGUACUGCACAGCUUGUGCAUGACUAAGUAAGAGAGAUAACAGACUCAUUUUUCAUCUUCUUCUUCUCCAAGUUUUCUCUCUGUGUUUUCUCUUCCUACAUGAGCUCCAUCUACCAAUAAUCCAAAACCUAAAAACAGAUCAUAGUUUGUGAAUUCUAACAUAAUUCAUCAUCACCAACACAAGCAAACUCAACAUCAACAAUGUCGACAAAGUCUAGCAUUACCGUCCUUGCCUUUGCCUUUUGUUUCUUGUCCCUCCUCAGUUUUGCUUACUCCAACACCACCGACGACAAAAUCUACCUCACCGGCCUGGUCUACUGUGACAACUGCCAAUUGAAGUCUAUGACCGAGAUGAGUAAGAUGAUUCCAGGUACGUAACGUUAAUAAGUAGGUAACAAACUACCUAAAUGUCGAUUAUAAGAUUUGAAUAUGAGAUUUAUGCAUGCAUGCAUGCACAUUGCCCAUUGAUCAGGUACAACGGUGCGAUUGGAGUGUAGGGAGGGGGGAACAUAAAGUCCAGCCAAGAGGCGGAAACCAACCAGCUUGGACUGUACGUGUUUAAGUUGGACAAAUCUAAGGAGCCUGUGGAUGAUUGUCAAGUGACACUGCUACACAGGCCUGACCCUGAAUGCAAGAUUUCCCACGAAGUCGACCCUAACAACAAAUCGAAAACUGCACCGGUGGCCACCCGGAAGCUCAACCUAUUGGAAGGAGACAGCGUCGAUGUCAUCGCACCAAGCCACCGCGUUGCCUACCCUCUUGGUUUGGUAGUUGAGAAAGCUCAUCCCGAGUGCGAGCAGUUCGCCAAAGCGCGCAAGCAUUUUCAGAACUAAUUUAAGGAAUUGAAGAUGAAAACCGUCUGAUAUUAAAUCAAUCUCCAAUUUCAGUGAAUUUUUCUUUUUGAUUGCAAAGAGAGAUGAAUUUUUCUUUCUGAUAUUCACAGUUAUGUUUCGUGAAUUCACAACAAGUAUAAACAAAGAAGUGUAAUUAGAAGUGCACUCAAGUAUUAUAUCCGUGAAGAUAUUGCCAUGUCGAUUAAUCUAGUCUUUUUAUUUUUUACUUUAUUAAUUCUUAAUUAAGAUUCAAUUUAGGACCUAUUUAAAGAGAAGUAAAAUACGAUUUAAAAUCUAUCUUAUAACCUAAUAAUCUCCUAAUCAAAAUACUAAACUUUUAACAUGUCACCUAUCAAUUUAGCCCUUAAUUAUACUAAGCUUAAAUUCCAUGGUCCAUACUAGUUUGAUUUUUAUUUUUUAUUUUGGUGUGAAAAUUUGGUCUUUUCUUUUAAAUAAUGUGCUAGAUAGUGUGAAAGUAGCAAAUAAAUAGUGAUGUGUGCAAAUUGGAUUUGACACAUAUCACAACCCAUAUCAUCAUUAAGGCCCUAAAAAUUCAAUCAUUCUGUGCCUGGUUAAUACGUUAAGUAGUUUAUGAAAUGAUUAAGAUCGAAGAGGAUCCAUGACUUGUAAUGGAUCACUUGUUCAUUUCCUUAAAAUAAUAAAAAAAUAAACUCGCAAUACCGACUCCAUUCGUAAUUCCAUCAAUUACUCGUCUAUCAAAAAAAUAAGUUAGUUUAGCUAAUCUUCUUAUACUGUUAGUAAAGGAUAAUGUGAAAUUAGGAAAUAAAUAAUGAUUAACGGACCCAAAACAUUGAAUUAUUGUGUGCCCAGUCAGAAAUUCUUCGAGGGCACGUAGACAGGUCCCCAUCUAGUAUACUAUGAGGAAAAGGACAGCCCACAACAAGUUUAUGUCUAUAAAAUGCCAGAUGCUCAUUGAAUGUCUUGUGCCCAUGAAAGAUUAAAUAUAUUUUCACAGAAUGCGUACCAUGGCUCUCACAAAUCAAGGCCAGUACCUCUGCUUAGCUUUUCUUUUCAUUUUGGCCAUUUGCUCCUCUCAAGCAUCGUCACGCCAAAUUUAUGAUGAGAAAACCAUGUUGGCGAGACAUGAAGACUGGAUGGCUCAAUUUGGGCCAGUUUUUUUUGUAAGGAUGCUGAGGAGAAACAGAGGCGAUUCGUGAUAUUCAAGGCCAACUUGGAGUUCAUUAAGCUUUUAACAAACACAUGAGCCAGAACUACUUCACUCUAAGCUUAAAUGAAUUUGCAGACCUAACCAAUGAGGAGUUUCAGGAAAUUCGUAAUGGUUACACGAAACGAUCCUCCAAAUCGAUCAUGUCCAAUUCCACGAAAGCUACAUGUUUCAGAUAUUGAAAUGUCACUGAUGUGCCUCCUUCAGUGGAUUGGAGAGAAAAGGGUGACGCCUAUCAAGGACCAAGGCAAAUGUGGUAAGUAUUAAACAAGUUGUUAAAUGAUGAUGCAUUCACUUUUUCACAACAUAACAUGUUAUUGAGUGAUGAGGCAUGUUAUUUCAAUUUUAUAGGGUGUUGUUGGGCGUUCUCAGCAGUGGCAGCGACAGAAGGGGUUAAAAAGCUCAAAACCAGAAACUAAAUCUCAGUAUCAGAGCAAGAGCUUGUGGAUUAUGACACUACAGGUCAAGGUCAUGGCUGUGAAGGUGAUCUAAUGGAUGACGCUUUUCAAUUCAUCCAACGCAACAAAGGCUGACAACUGAAGCUAAUCACUCCUACCGGGGUGUAGAUGGAACUAGUUGCAACACUCAGAAAGCUGCAUCCCAAACAGUGUCCAUAAACGGGUACGAGGAUGUGCCUAAAAACAACCAAAAUGCUAUGUUGCAAGCCGUCGCUAACCAACCAAUUUCGGUUGCCAUUGACGCAAGUGGCUGUACCUUCCAGUUUUAUUCAAGUGGGGUGUUCACCGUGGUAUAAACUUAGAUCAUGGUGUUACUGCAGUUGGAUACGGGACUAGUAGUGAUGGGACUAAAUACUGGCUGGUGAAGAAUUCUUGGGGCACAGGGUGGGGGGAGGGUGGAUAUGUGAUGAUGCAAAGGGGCAUUCCUGCCAAGGAAGGACUCUGUGGCAUUGCUAUGGAAGCUUCUUAUCCAACCGCAUGAUUAAUUAAAAUGCAUAUAUGUCAUAAUCAGCCCCGAUCUCUUGGACCACAGGGGUCCAAGAGACUAUGGUCACCCACCGUUAGAUGUAACAUCCAACGGUUCAAAAAAGUUUCUUAAAAGGAGUGCAAGAGUGAGUGAAUCGUUGAAUUUACAUCCAACGGUGAGUGACCACAAAUCUCUUGGAUCCCUAUAGUCCAAGAGAUCAGGACUGAUGUCAUAAUAUAGUGUGGUGUAUAAAAUAUGUAUAAUUGAAUAAUAUAGAAAGACGCUAGCUAUGAGCUGCUAUCCUUCCACUUUGAAAUCCAUGCCUCAAAACAUAGAAACAAUUAACCCAUGACGUGGAUUUGCUCUUAAAAUCUCACGCAAUUAAUUAGCAGCUAUAGCUAUGAGGUUGACAUGUUUUCAUUACCAUUGCAAGGUUAAAUCAAGUUAGAUUAAGGGUGCAUAUUUUUGCUCACCAUCAUUCUUAAUACUUGACAUGUAUCUAUGGGUAUAACCAUGGUUAUAUAAAUAUAUAACUAUGAUUAUGUCAAUGAACAUACGUGUCAAGUGUUAAGAUGGGUAGUGAGAAUACACAUCUGGUUAAAGUGGUGAGUAAAUAUAUUCCCCUAGAGUAAUCACAUGAUCAUGUCAUUGAUCCUACAAGGUAAAACUGUGAAACGACGUCAUUAGACUUGUUCGUGGGUGGCAUGGAUUGGAAACAGGUAAUUAACCAUAGAGUAUGCUACACUUACCACAUUUUACCCCACAUUUCUAUACCAGAUGAUGUGACAUGUCCAUAUCAUAUGCCAUAUCAAUUAAAUCAAUGAAGUGUAUUGUAAUAAAGAAAGUUUAACUAACAGUUUUUUUUAAAGUGUUAAUAAAUCAUAAAAAGAAAAGAAAAUAUUAAAUAAUUUUAAUUGAUGUGACUGUCCACCUCAUCUGCCACAUAAGGUGGUAUGGGAAUGUGGUAUACAAAUGUGGUAAGAGUAGCAUUAUUCGUAGAGAAACCUAGGUAUUUAAUCCCAUAAUUUUGUAUAAAUGGAAAGCAUAUUACACCGGAGACAAUGAAAUAAAAAGAUGUCAAAGCUUUCAAUAAUACUUUAUAUUUUUAAAGAGGGGGAAGUACAAUAUUAUGAUGAAGAGAUGAGUCUUUUUGUCAAUUAAGAUGCACCAUUUAUAUAUCCUACAUCCACAUUACCUUUUGCAUGAUCCUGCCAUGAACAUCCAAAAAUGCAACGAUCUAGUUAAAAUUCAUUUCAUUGUUCCUAUAACUUGUUCUUCCUAUACACACACAAAUUCCAUGAAUUAAUUGACAAUGUGAUAUUAAUAUUACCAUAUAACAUUUUCAACAUUCUCAUCUCGUCCUUGCAUUCAAGUAAAGAAAAGAAUACACGUAUCCAUGGAUUGUUGAUGUCUAAAUUUGACUCAACGGUUUAAGAUCGUAAAAACAACACAUUCACAUCAUGACACACACUCAAGUCAGGCUACGUCCAUAAUAUACAAUUAGUGAACUGAAUUACAUGAAUCUACAAGUACGGGAUAUAAAUGCUACAAGCCCUACAUGCUACAAUAUCUGUCCUAUUUUUGGGUCAACCAUUCCUUAUUCUCUUUGAUAGUACAAUCGAGUUUACAUGUUAGGAUCCUAACGGGGAUAUUAAACGCUGAAAAGGAAAUAAUCAAUUCCCAAUAAGCCCUUAAUAUCAUCUAACCAAGAUACAAGCCUCAUAUAUAUCUUUACAAAUCUUUCUAGUUCUUAAAGGUUAUAGCAUCCAUGUAACAACCCGAUCCAAAAUUAAUAUUUAAUUAUUAAUUUAUUCAUGUAAAAGAUAUUUUUACCCCGGAAUAUUUUAAUGAUUUAAAAGUUUACUUUUUAUUCAGGAAGGAAUUUGGGGAUUUCAGUUGUACCGUUGCGUAGAGCACAUCGAGAUGAGUCUGUAGACACGUAAUGGGCUCAAAUUCGAGUUGUUACGAGAGAGAUAUGAUCAAAAUUCAAGUAAAAUCAUAAUUUUGCCAAACUGGUUUUUAAAACUAGAAUCUCUCUCUCUCUCUCUCUCUCUCUCUCUCUCUCUCUCUCUCUCUCUCUCUCUCUCUCUCUCUCUCUCCCUCCCACCGAGCAGCCCCUACCCUUCGAAUUUUGUUGCACGGCCAGUGGCUCCAAGAGCCACCACAGCCACCACUUGGGGCGGCACCGGUCCCAAAAGGACCAUUGUGAGGUCCUCUUCUAGUGCUACACGGUCUCCGCCGCCAAACACCAGCACAGCUGCCGGAUUCUGCGGAAAUCCAGUCGAAAUUGACCCGUUUUUCCUUCGAUUGUUUCAGACGUUUUCGGGGUCCAAAUUUUAUGAUUGAGGUAUGCUUUUCGAUCCUUUCGAGGUGUUUUCGCUGCUGGUUGUGUUAUUUAGGAGAAAUUUCUGCGUUUUGGUAGUCAAAUAAGUAAUAGAAGUUUCGGCCUCCAAUUUCAGCCACUUUCGGCCAUUUUUCAGGGUAGGUCCAAGAACAAAAGUAGCUCCAAUUGAUGUCCUGAACCUAGGGUAGGAAGCUUGGCCAUUAAUUUUGAGAAUUUUCCAGCGAUCGUUAUCGGUUUGGGCACCUGCGCGCUGCUAGCGCGUGUGGUGGAGCGUAGGCACUGUAGCAAAGGGGCAUUGUGUCCUAAAAUGAUCUCCUGGGCCUCACGAGCGCGUAGGUACUUUCGGAUUCCUAUUUGGUUAACGUUUGGACCCCAAACGGAUUUUGCCUAUUGUGCGAUUUCCGGGUUCGAUUCAUUUGAACCGUUGGAUCAUAGUCAAUUUCAUAUAUGUUGAUCUAGGUAAUUCCAUAAUUGUAUAUGAUUUGACGGAUCAUAAAACAAAGUCCCGGAUCCUCCGAAAAUACCAACCCUAUGGCUAGGUUUACACUAAUUGUCCGAUCGUGGGUAAUCCGACCGUCCGAUCGAGACCAAACUCUCGGAACAUGUGUCCUAGGAAUUUUGGAACCUCUAGAAACUUUCGGAUCGGUAUUUUGAGGGCGUAGACCCCAUGGGGUCCCGGGUUGACUUUUUGAGACUUUAUCGCUUUUGAGUCUUGUGUCUCUUUUAGACCAUCCUAAAUAUGGGAAAAGCUCAUGUGGGCAUAGGAAUGACUUUAAACUCGAGGCAUGCACUUCUAGGAGCGGGGGUCAUUGUUUCGGAUUAAAUAAUGAUGUUGAGUUCUAUUGGAAGUUGAUAUAAAGGUCGGGAUAUGGUUUUCAAACCCAUUACAGGAGUAACCCCUAGUUGCUUUGAAACAGUUUAUCAUUUAUAAAUAUUGCCCCACGAGUUCCACGGACACUCGAACCAUGUGGUGUGAUGAAUGCGGCUCAGGCUGACUAAUGGUCCCCUGAGGCCUGCGAGGAUUACGACUCGGAUAGAAGUAGUAUGUCUAAGGCCUGCAAGGAUUACGGCUCAGAUAAAAGUGGUAUCUCCGAGGCCUGCGAGGAUUGCGGCUUGGAUAGAAGUGGUAUCUUUGAGGCCUGCGAGCAUGGAAUUGACGAUAUUAAUAGAAUUGACGGAUCAGGAAUAGGGGUACGACUAGGUGGAGAGAAUUUCAGUUAUGAGAUAUUCAAGCACCUUAUUAAAGGGGAAGAACUACGUGUGGCUUGAUCCCUUGUUGAGGGUACGUAGGCAAUCUAGAAUUCUAGGUGCAGCCACGAGGUCAAGUAAUAAAGUUAGUCCAGUUGAGUUAUUAUGAAAUCUAAUACAGUUCUAGAGAUUUUAUAAGAAAUUGAAUUGAAUGUUGUUAGCAGAAUGAUUUAUUCGAUUUAUUGAGGCCGGAGGCUAGAAUAAUAAGAUGCUUGAUUUUUGGAUAUAAUUUGAUACAUGCUGGCAGUUGGGUUAAUAUAAACAUAUAUGCUUGUUUUACAGGUGGGAAUUUUUGGGAAAUGUUCAAUUUAGAGGGGAGACUCUAUUGAAUUUUUAGCAGAAGUCGUACUUGAAUUUCAUUGAAUUUUGGUUAGAAGGGCUUUUUGGUCAAUUGUGUCCGGCAACCACCAGGUGUCGGACACGCACAUAUACUAAGUACUGGCCUAGCUUCUUAAGAGCAAAAUUUUAAUCAAUUUUUUGCUUUAGUUUAUGUGUUGAAGGUAGUGUAGAGACGUAGAGAAGAAACAAAAUAAUUAUCUGAAAUUCAAACAUACAAAGCCAAAACCAGGGAUAAGAAUAUAACGAUAUAAACGAUAACAUUAAUAUUUAGCAAACUUACAUAAAAGCAGAAGGGCAAUAGUGCUUAACAAAAGCUUCGCAGAAGCAGCACUUGGAAUAUAAAAACACUCAAACACUCAAGCACUCAAACACUCCAAAGUACAAAGUUUAUUUCUGGAGGUGAUAAUUUUGCGAUGAUCUACAACUGAGGAGAGGUCCUCCUUUUAAAGCUUCAGGGCUGUUGUCGUGUCAAAUAAAGACAAUAAGUCACAAAUCAGCCUACAGUAGAGCUGCAUCUUCACUUUGAGGAUUCUCGCUGAACUUUCCCGCAAACAGUCAAAAAGAAAAAGCAAACUUUUUAUAAAAGCGAAAGCAGAGCUAAAGCAGAAGAAUCUUGCUUUAACCAGAGGAAAAAUACAGUUAAACGACAAGAAAGAAAAAACUACAAUUUUACAAAUUGUCUCUUAUCAGACAUAAUAUUACUGAGCCCACCAUAAAGCUCCGUAUGGAAAUUGUCCAUGUCUUCAUUAGCAAAAGGGUCCACCUCAUCUUCAGGCUGGGUGGCAGAUGCUGAAGCCAUAGAUUCGUCAUCCAGAUCGAGAAUUUCAAGGACUUUCUUUUUCAACUCUUCUUUAGAAGAUGAUGAUCCUGGCUGGUCUAUCCACAGUUGCAACUUUUGGGAAACAGUCAGAUUAGAAGAAGUGACCAAAGGCAGAGCAGCAGCAGAGGCGGGAGAUGGGAUAAGAGCUGGGACGAUCUUGGUGGGAGCCAGGUGAUCCCUAGUGAAUUUAUCCCACUAUCCGAUUAAGAUACUUCAGACUAAAUUUGGAAUAUAAGUCCAUUCCUCAUCAACAUCCUCCGAAAUAAUAUAUUCCCAUUUUAAUAUACAUGGUAGUUCAUACAUUAUCAUGAACCACAUGAAUAAGGUCCUUUAAUCAGGAUGGUUUUUAUUCCAUUUGCAAAAUUUCAUUUGAAAAUAUUCCUUAAUUUCAGGAGGAAGGUAUUCCAAAGUAGGACCCCAAAUCAGAAAGAAGCUCUUGAACCAAUUAGGAAGUUCUUUAAGAGCUCUAAGCUUAAACUGGAUAAACCAAGUAUGAGAAUAUUUUUGCUUUUGGAAACAUAAAACAUAUUCCCAUGCCUUUUUAUAAUCCCAUAAAUUAUAGGAAUAUGGCCAAAUUUCAAGAUGGAUAAAUCUCACUACUACAAAAAAGCAAAAAGACGACGGUAAAUCAUCGUCGUGUAUUCGGUUUUCCAAUGGUCGUGGAAUCCACCGUCAUCUUUUCCCUCAUAAACCACGACGCUAAAUCACCGUCGUUGUUAAAAUAUACAACGUCAUCAACAAAUACAAAACGACGUCUUUGUACUGCAAAAAGAUCUAAAAAAGCAGUCGAGGAUGAGAACAGGCGACCAACUCUCUAAAAACACCGUCGUUAAAAAGGAAAAAUAUGACACAUAUUAACAGAACAAGGCCGCAAGAUAGACAUACAACGACGAAAAUUAAAAUAAGACGCCGUUAAAUAUCAUUUUCACGACAAUAAAAAAUAUGGCGUCUUUAAAUACAUUAGAAGACGACGUUAUUGAUACCUACUACGUCGCCUAUAUAAAAACAGCCGUCGUAAAAUAAAUUUUCCACUUCGAUUUUUCUAUAAAAGAUGACGUGGAAAUAGUUGUCAGUGUCAUUAUUUACGACGUAUGUAUUUAUAGAGUAGACGUUGAACAACGAAACAACGUCGGUUACAAAUAUAUGAGAGUCGUAUUACAAAAUUUAUACGUCCUAUUUUCAGAAACAAACAACAACGAUAAAUAUUAGACGUUGUUAAAUAAAACAACGUCGAAAACAAAUAAAAACACACUUGUUUAGUCUGCUAAAGUUCUAAAAAAUAGUCGAGGAUGAGAAUAGACGACCAACUCAAAUAAAUCACCGUCGUUAAAAAGGAAAAAUAUGACACAUAUUAAAAGAACAAGGCCGCAAGAUAGACAUACAACGACGACAACUAAAACACUACGCCGUUAAAUAUAAUUUUCACGACAAGAAAAAAUAUGACGUCUUUAAAUACAUGAGAAGACGACGUUAUUGAAAUCUACUACGUCUCUUAUUUACAAACAACCGUCGUGAAAUAAAUUUUCCACUUCGAUUUUUCUAAAAAAGAUGACGUGGAAAUAGUUGUCAGUGUCAUUAUUUACGACGUGUGUAUUUAUAUAGUUGACAUUGAAAUGCGAAACAACGUCGGUGGCAUUUAUAUAGUCGACGUUGUAUUUAUAUGUAUUCAUUACUCACGACGCACUUAUUAAUAUAGACGACGUUGAACUUCUAAACAACGUCGGUUCCAAAUAAAUGAGAGCCGUAUUACAGAACAUAUAGACGGCGUUGAUUAUGAUGAGAGCCGUAUUACAAAUAACGUCGAUUAAUUGAUAUUAGACGGCGGUUAUAAUGAAUUACCGUCGGAAUUCAUUUCGUUCCUCUUCGUUUAUAAAAGAACUUGCGACGUGGAAAAUGUAUGAUGACGUCGUAUUUUUUAACAUUCAGAUUAUAUAUCUCGUUUUUUAGACGUCGAUAUUAUGGGAUUGGAGUCGUGUUAUUUUGAAUUACAUGGCGGUUCUUAAUCCUUCCCCGACGUGAUAUCCUGAAUAAUUACUUCACAAUAGCGUCGUGGUUCUUCAUUGUUACGUUGCUUUAAGACGUCGGUAAAUAUGCUGAAUAACUGGUUCACAAUAACGUCAUGUUUUAUUUGAACAGACGUCGUUUUUUAUGCAGAAUAUAAUGAUGUAAUCUGGAACCAGUAUUUUUUGCACUGAUUGUUUUGUGGCCAAAACCUGUAUAAUGAAAGUGAAGAAAUCACAUUACAAUAUAUUACAAAAUUAAUGUCAUACACUGCCAAUUAGGGGUGGGCAUUAGAACCGCAAAACCGCAAAACCGAACCAAACCAAACCGAAAAAAUCCGGAAAAAACCGUGUUGACUAAAAAAGUCAAAAACCGAGUCAAAUCUGAACCGGACCGGUUCAGACCGGUUCCGGUUCCGGUUUUCUACUACAAGGAACCGUCCAAUCCGAACCGGUCCAAUAUAAUUAAUUAAUAUAUAUUUUUUAUAUUUUAUAUAUUUAUAUUUUAUAUUUUAUAUAUAGUUAACAUGUGGCUGUUUUGUAUUGGCUAUCUAAAAUACUACCGUACGCACACAUACACAGGAUCAUCACAACUAAAACACACGAUUUAGGGGUUUCUUCUUCCUUCUUCGAUUUUUUUCCUCUCCCUCUCUCUGAUUUCAGAGCCGCCGAACCCGAAGAACCUUUCCUUUCCUCUGCGUGAAACCAUUGUUGCAGCCAUCCUUGUUCUUCUUCAGCCGUCGCGCCGUCGUCCUCGUCACGCAAGCAGGUUCAAUUCUUCUGGCUUUCUUUUUUCUUUGUUUUUUCGUUUUGUUUCUUUUCCCCCUUCGAUUCUCUGUCUGACCAUCUCUAUGUCCUCCAUCAGCAGUUCGUGCAGAUCAUCAUCCAUAUUUCUGGAGUAGGUUGCAGCUUCGCACUCCUUUUUUUUUCUCCCAUUGACGCAGCCGUCCGUGCACUCCUCCUCGUCAGUUUUCCAUUGAAGACUCUCUCUGGACUCCAAGAGCAGAGAGCUGCUUACUUGGGCUCUGGUCAAAGUGGCUGGUUUUUUUUUAAAAAAACUAACUGGUUUUGAUGAAUUGGGUAUGUGUAGAAAUUGUGGAUCAAGAUGGGAAGUCGUCACUUCUUUCCCUGUGAAAGCGUUCGACUCUGUUGUUCUUGCCAUCUAUGAAGGUUUCUGCAACUUGAAACAGGUUCAUUUCUCGCAAAUUUUUGUUCUUUUAUUCGUUGGGAUUUUGUUGUCCUUUUGUAUAUUUAGUUAUAUCCUCUGGUUGUUUGCUUAGAAAAUGAAAGAGUGAAAGCACGAAUCAUAUUUUAUUUUAUGUUUUCCACUACUUGAGAAGUUCAAAGUUUCAAAACAAUUAAGCCAAGUUGUUAAUCUUCAAUAUUGUUAUCUCUGUUUGCAUUUGUAUUUUUAUCAAACUUUCAUGACUGUAUAUUUCUUCUGCUCAUUAUUUGUUUAGGGAAUUAGAUAUGGUGUUUCGGUUUGUGCUCAUAUUGUGCAUUCAAUUUUUUCAAUUUUGCAGUUUUGCAGAUUUUGAGAUUUUCAGUUUUUCGUUUUGCUUUAUUACUGCUGUCAUAGGCAACUAUUUUGAGAAAUUGGCUUGCUUAGGGUUCUUUGUUUUUUCGUGCUGAAUCCAAUGAUGCAAAGAAUGUCAAAAUUGGGCUAGUGGUUUGAAAGCUAAAGGCUAAAAACUGAACAGAUGUUAGAUUUGUCAAAACUGCAAUUUGAAACCCUUUAUUUUCUUGCUUGGCUCAAGUCUAGUUAAUUGGUUUCUGUUUUUCAGUUGCUUUCUAGUUAAGUGUUGUUAGCUUGUAGUUGACUUUUGUUUGUUGUUUCGGUUUGAUUUACUAGUGUGCAUUCAAAUUUAUUAAUUGGUUGUGCAUUCAAAUGGAUUAAUUGAUUAAUUGACAGUGUAUAACAGAUUUGCUGCAAUAUUUUUCAGUUUUUCAGUUUUGUAGUUUUUCAGUUUUUCAGAUUUUCAGUUUUGCAUAUUUUCAGUUUUGGAUUGAAUUUGGAUUGUAUUUUUGUUGAAGUUGGAUUCAUUUUGAUGAUGUUGAAGUUGGAUUGAAUUUGGAUUGAAUUUUUGUUGAAGUUGGAUUCAUUUGAAUUUGGAUUGUAUUUUUGUUGAAGUUGGAUUCAUUUUAAUGUGUUGAAAGCUUGAUGGAACCUCAAAUUUGGGGUAUGUUAGUAUAUAAAAUACAUUUUGGGCAGAUUUGUUAAAAUUUAAAAAAAAAAAAAAAAAAAAAAAACCGGAACCGCAGGAACCGAACCGGAACCGGACAGGUCCGGGUUGGUUCGGAUUUCUGUAUGGAUGUUGAGCAGAACCGGUCCAAACCGAACCGGUCUGCACUAUCGGAUCAGGUUCCAUUUUUCCCCCGGAACCAGUCCAAACCGAACCGUGCCCACCCCUACUGCCAAUUACAUAAGCAUCAUUCAAUCCAUAUAUCUUCACACCCAUCUCGAAUAUUUUGACCACCUAACUCACCCACCAGUUCAUCAAAUGUGUCAACAUUUGGCAUCCCUCUAGUAAAUGGCUCACACUCAAUUAUCACAUCACCUAAGACUUCAUCACCAAUAACAUCAUUAUAUUCUCUAUUAGGCAUUGAUAACACUACCGACCAACCAUGAUGCAUCGGGUCGUCAACAAAAAAUAUUUGUUUGACUUGAGAAGCCAAAACAAAUUGGUCAUUCCUAUGUCCAAUUUUACUCAAAUCUACAAGGGUAAAUCCAAGUUCGUCGACUACAAGACCAGUACUAUCUAUCCAAUCACACCUAAAGACUGGGAUUGUAAACUUUUGGUAGUCAAGGUCCCAAAUUUCUUGAAUGACACCAUAGAAACCCAUAUUUGAGAGAAUUGGGUUUUUAUCCUUGGCACUAGCAACUUGCAUGGUAUGUGCAAGUAAAUAAACUCCACUAUUUUGAGUUGUCCGCACAUCAUCUCGUGCCUUGAUAUUGAAUUUAAUACCUUUAAUAAGAUAGCUCCUAUAUAAUGGCAUUGCCAUGUUUGGACCAGCUGCUAGCCACUUUAAAUUUUCUGAUACGCCAUGAUUGUCUUCCUCAAGUUCACUUUGAACCUACAAAUUAAUCAUAUCUUAAUUCAAUCUAACAUAGAAAUAAGAAGAAAAUUAAAAGAGAAAUAUGUUAUUCAACAACAUAUACCUUGAAGCGUAGCCAUUGAAUGAAAGUGCUAUUGUGCUUAUCCUGCAGCCACUUUGUUCUCUUUCUAAAUUUUGGAUAAGCAGUCUUGAUGUGGAUCAUAUGUUGCCUACAUGACACGAAAAAUUCAAGCAUUACGGUCCCAAAUAUAUAAGCUAAACAUAAGAAAUAAUUUAAAAUGGAAACUUAAAGAAUAAAACUCAUACGUACUCGAUAUAAGGUAGGACUUCCUCCGUAUUCUCCAAGACAUAUAGAUGUGCUUGAUUCAACAGGUCCUGUUCAAUCGUUGUCGUAUGCCUAAAAAGGCGUAGUGUCUCAGUUUAUUUUCAAGAACCCAAAACCCAUUAAGAACACAACAUAUAUAUGAAACCAAGCAAGAAACCAACAUAUACAUGAAACCAAGCAUGAAAACAAUAAAUCCAUUCCCAAUUCAACAUAACAUAGGGUGAUUAAAAGAUCCGACAAAAUUAAAUCCAUUCCCAAUUCAACAUAACAGAUAAUGUAAUCUAUGAACCCAUUAAACAGAAAAUCCAUGAACCCAUACCUGCACAUUAUUAACAGAUCGCAAAGCAUAUACCUAAAACCCUUUAAUAAAACAACCUAAUAUCAUUCAAUGAAUUUACAAGGGGAAGAUAGGGUUUGUACUUACAGGUUGGACGAGCUCACAGAUUCGACGGAGCCUGGAAAGUGCAACUUUUAAUUAGAGCAGAAGUGAGAGAGCGAAAUGUUAUGUUGCGCGAAAUCUGAAAAUUUUAGGGUUCAGGGUUAGAAGUAUAAGAAUAAGAGCCAAAUCUAAAAAAUUUAGGUCGCGCGAAAAUUUUUAGAGAGCGCGCUCUUUAAAACGUCGAAAGAAAAACCAUAGCGAAAGUUCUACAAGAACCGACGUAAAUGUAAUAUUCCACGACGGAAACACUGAACGUAGCGCCGUUUAUUUUGACGCUUGAUUUUUCGGAUUAAUUUUAAAUUAAUUUUGAAUAUUUUGAUAUAAAGACGACUGAAAAACCACGUCAGGGUUAAGAAAUUGAAGACGUUGUAAAUUAUAAUAGAUGACUUAUAUAUUAAAAUGACGUCAUUUAAAGUAGAAACCAUGUCGGAUAUUUUACUGCACGACGUAACAUAUGUAUUCCACGACUCAACCACCGUCGUUAAAAAUUAAUACCCUAAACCCUUAAAACUAAAUUAUAUAAUUUAAAAUUUUAAGUUUAUAAAAGGGUUUAUGGUUUUACAGCCUAAUAUAUACCCUAUACUACUCAAAAAUUAUACUUUAAAAAUAAACCCCAAUAAAUAACAACCCUAAUCUCUAAACCCUAGACUCUAAACCCUAAAGCAUAAAACUAGAAGUGAUUUUAUGACUCAUCAAAACAAUUUUGUUUUGGAUGGUCAUUUUAAAUUUUUGUUAUUCAAAAUGAAUUUUUUCAAGGUUUAGGGGGAAGAAAAUAUAUCAAUGACUUCAUAGGAGUUGACUUUGCAUUUUUCUGAUUUAUUUUAAAUUUAUUUUGAAUAUUUUGAUAUAAAAAUAAUAAAAUAUUCUUAUCACAACAACAAACCACGUCGGUGUUAAUAAAUUGUAGACGUUGUAAAUUGUAAUAGACGACUAAGUUGUUAAAAUGACGUCGUUUAAAUGAGAAACCAUGGCGGAUAUUUAACUAUCCGACGUAAAAUAUAUAUUCCACGACUUAACCGCUGUCGUUACAAAGUACUACCCUGAACCCUUAAGAAAUUGAAGACGUUGUAAACCAUAAACGACUCAAUUGUUCAAAAAACGUCGUCUAAAUAUCUUUUUACGUCGGAUUUGUUUAAAACGAAACAACAAAAAACGACAGUUUUUGACUUUAUUAGGUCGUUGGAAAAGUAUUACACGUCGGUUACACAAUUUGUAUGUUUGUUUUUUUUUUUAAUUUAAGAAAACCCCAACAAAUUUUUACAUUAUAUAUUAUAGACAAAAUUUGUACAUUAUACAUAAAUAUCAAGUGGUCAAUAAUUCCCCUAUUCCAUGUGAAGGCAAACAAACUCUGCCCAUUCAUUCCGGACUUCAUCAAUUGCUUCUUGGGGGUAUGGCGCUUCCUGUUUUCCCUUGGCAUACUGCAUAAACAAUGACUAUUAGGGUUUAUAAAUAAAAAGAAAUUCAAUCACAGACGAUGAUAUUUUUCAUAACCGACGUAGUAUAUCUAUUCAACGACGGUAAUUUUACAUGACCGUCGUUGAUAAUACAAAAAACGACGUAAAAUGUAUGAAGGUAAUUUCUUCUUACCUUCUUCUCAAACCCCAAGGAAGGAUCCAUGAUGAUGUCCCUCAUGAAACGCAUCACAUAAUACCCGCAUUCGACACUGCUGGGUUGCUUUGGUGUGCCUGACAGAGUUUUCCAAAUUACUGUUUUACGGCCUGAUCUGGCUAUGUGAGAAUUAUAUAUUUUUAUAGCACUGUUCACGAUGUUUUUGCCCUCUUCAUCGACCACACGAUUUCCAGGCAGAGGAUCCAGAAAAUAGACGGUUUCCCUCUUUGCUCUCACAAUCAGCAAGAUCCAAUGACAGCUGCACAAAAUUAAUAUAAAAACGACGGUUAUUUACAAAAAUGACGUAUUAUAAUAUUUCACAAGACGAAAUAAAGUAGCAAUCGACGACAUUAUAUAUUUAUCACGACGAUAAAUAACUACCGACGUGGUUAGUAGUUUCAAACAACUCAAUAAAAUAAAACACCGACGUGGUUAGUUUAUACGCUGUCAUUUAUUGAAAAUCAUAAAAACAAAAUCCUGUUAAAGAGACUAACCCUGGAUUGUAAGGCAUCAUGAAAAUCUGUUCACCAUCAGUCUUCUGAAGUCGAGCUGCUACCAAUCGUGAUCUGUCAGCUAUUGUCCCAGAGUUGGCACUAACUGUAGCAGGGUCGAUAAAGCCAACCAUGCUGCACAUAUUUGCUUGUUUCAAAAGAUCAUGUAAGUACCUAAAUAUAUAAAAUAAUAUAAACAAGUCAGCACAAAAAAACACACGACGGUUAUGUAUAACAAAACGACGUAUUAUAAAAUUUCACACGACGUACUGAAAUAGACAACGACGUUAUAAUAUAUUUAUCACGACGGUACAUACUAACGACGUGGUUAGUUAGUUAAGACGACGCAAUAAAUAAACCAACGACGUAUUAUUUUAGAAUGACAAACCUCAUAUAUACAGCAACCACAGUAGCUCCUAUUUCUUCCAUGCCUGCAAAUUGUGUAAUAUCUUCAGGCAGAACGAAGGUAUCGCGUUCUAGACCAAACACCUCCUUAUCAAUUGUAAAGUUCAGGGUCUUAUCCUGAGGCACGAGUGUCGUUUCCACAUAACGACAAAGGGAUUUUAAAGAAGAUGGCGCCUCCACAUUUGAAUAAUCAACAACUUUAAUAACCUGUUUAAAGAAAUAAAAAAAAUGACGUGGUAAUUCAAUAAAAACGACGGUUUAAGGAAUAAAACGUCGUCUGAAAAGAAUUUAAACGACGGUGAAAAAACCGUCGUGGUGAAUAAUUUAUUACGUCUUAGAAAAAAAUUCCGCCGUCUAAGUUGUAAACAAACGACGGUUUAAAGAAAAAAAUUCCGCCGUCUGAAAUUUUGAAAAACAAAUAAAAAAGGCAAAGUUAUGUGAACAUACCUGGUUGUCAUGCUUUUCUUCAUCUUCUUUCUCCUUUUCAUCUUGUUUUUCUUCUUUCUUCUCUUCAUCUAUUACGCCGGGAAUGACUAACACCGUCGUCUAAAAACCACAAAGUUUUAAAAAUAACGACGUUUAAUGGCGUGUAAAACAUGUAAACUAAAUACGACGUGGUAUUGAAAUACAAACGACGGUUUAUUUUUAAAAUCGUCGUGGUAUGUAUUUCAAACGACGGUUUUAUUAAUAAUAACGACGUCUAAUAGUUUUUAAAAAAACAGAGAAUUCAAAGUUCAGAUAUGUUACCUUUUCUUCCUGAUGUUUCCCAUUUUUGGCAGUAUCAUCCUCAAAAUGUAGGGAUCUCACAUCACCUCCAGAGCAGCUUGCUUUGUCAGACAUUGGAUUUUUGGGACUUUGGCUAAUUCUUGGUUUAAGCAUGCUUGGAUCAAAAUUGAGAAUUAAUUGGAAAAGCUGACUCAGGAAAUGCUCCCUCUCAGCCUCUACCAAUUGUUUGGUUCUAGCCUCCAUCCUUAAAGCCUCUUCCCUUGCCUUAGCUUCCAUCUUUUUAUUCUCUUCUUGAAGGAGAACUCUUAAACUGUCCUUUAAACGGUCGUCAAAGCUCAUCCUCUGUGGUUUGGGUAAAUUGAAAUAUUGCCUUGGGGAAAUCCCAGCACCUACACCUCUCACUCUGCCUGGAUGCUCGGGGCCCAAAGCCAUGGUCAGCACAUCAUUGCUGCCAGAUAUACUGACUUUGCCUUCCGAGACUUGUUUUUGCAAUUCAUCCUAAAACAAAGAUAUAUAAAAAAGUAAGAUCAAAAAACACACGACAGUUAUUUAUAUACAAACGACGUAUUAUAUAAUUUCAGACGACGCAAUAACAUAUAAAUCGACGUUAUUAUAAUUUAUCACGACGGUAGUUAUACCGACGUGGUUAGUUUUUUAAAACGACGAAAUGAAUAAACCACCGACGUCUUAUGCUUUAUUUACAGGUAACAGAGGGAUGAUUCAAUAUUCACACCUUUAACGACCUUGUUUAAAACAUUUCGACAUAGUAAUUUAAUACAAACGACGCGAAAAUGAACCAUCGACAUCUUAUGCUAUAAUUACAGAAAAUAGAGUACUGAUUCCUGAUUUAGACCUUUAACGACGUUUUUUAAAAAAUUUCGACGUGGUAAUAUCAUUCACACGACGCAAAAUAUAACAUAAGACGUAAUAAGAAUUAUUCACAGUUUAAUAAAAAUUUAAAACAGAGUGAGUAGGCUUACAAUUAAUUUUGCUUUCUCUGCCACCUUUGGAUUCGGGAUGUUACCAUGUUUGUCCUGUCUAGCUCUCUUCCAUAAGGUAGAUCGAUCAAUUUCUACCCCAGGCAUGGUUUCCUCCAAUUGAUCCUCCAAACCAGCAUAUCCUUUUCGAGACCUCUUCCCUUGCCUUAGCUUCCAUCUUUUUAUUCUCUUCUUGAAGGAGAACUCUUAAACUGUCCUUUAAACGGUCGUCAAAGCUCAUCCUCUGUGGUUUGGGUAAAUUGAAAUAUUGCCUUGGGGAAAUCCCAGCACCUACACCUCUCCCUGUCAUUGGUGUAUCGAAGGAUAUAAUGCCUCGUUAGUGUAGACUUGAAAUCCUUCCAUUUCUUGGCAGCAGAAGCUAACACAGAGUUCUUGCCCCCUUGACCUACCACAAAAGCAAUGUCAACUGCUUCCCAAAUCUGCUCCUUUAUAUCCUUGGGGAUUUGAGCCCAUUUCAUGUCCACAAGUGGAACUCUGGAGCGUGCCAACACACCAAUGUAGGACUGCAUCUCACUAUGUGCUUGGCCAAUUCCUUUCCCCCUUUUAUUGUACUCAACAAUUGGCCUGAGUUUCUGAAGUUUUCUCUUCACAACACGAGGCAUUGUGCUCAUACCUCGACCAGACUUUGAAUCAUCAGAGAUUGUUGUCGUGCUGGUUGGUUCUGUCUCAGCAGAUGAUGAAGCAAACUUCAUCUUCUUCGAAGACUUCUCUUGAGGAGUUACCAUUCCAAGCUCCUUACCUCCAUUUUUCUUGGAGCCAGAGUCCUUACUUUGGUCUUGAGAAACCAUUUUUACAGACAAAACUGCAAGUGAAAAUAUUUCAGGAAAAGAUUAAGAACACAAACGACGGUUAUUAAUAAAAUACGACGUAUGAUAUGAUUUUAAACGACGCAAUGAAAUAAUCUCAGACGUAAUAAAUGUUUAAAACCAAGGUAAUUAAACAACGACGAAAUAAUAUAAAAUAAGACGUAAUAAUAACUUAUUACGUCGAUAUUUACCGGACGACGUGAUAAUUAACUAUAAACGACGAAAUAUUUAUAUAACGUCGUGGUAUUGAUGUUCACACGACGUCAAUAGUAAUAUACCGUCAUCUAUAUAAGGAUCCAAAACCCUUCUUUCUUUCUCUGUAAAUGUUUGAUUGCAGAUUUGAUUUUUCUGAACCAUGGUUUUUGUUUUCUAAUUUGAUAAAAUACAAGGCCAAGAAAGAAAAUUUUGGAAUCUUAUAUAGACGACGGUAUUUUAAUAUGACGUCGUGGUAUUAACAUUCACACGACGUAAAACAAUAAGAUACUGUCGUCUAUAUUAGAUACCAACCCUACUUUCUUUUUCUUUAUAUUUUAUCAAAUUAGGGAAAAACAAAAACCAUUGUUCAGAGAAAUCAAACCUGCAAUUAAACAAGCAAAUAAAAAAAAGACUAUAAUUUUAAAAACAACUUUGUCAAUUUUCAGACGACGCUAGAACGACUGACGAACCGUCGUGGUCUACAUAUUUAACCACGUAAAUAAGAAGCUACCGUCGUCUUAUUUAGUUGAGGUAGUUGUCUUCAAAGUAGGAAACUUUCCCUCUUUGUCUGUAUAUUUUAUCAAACUUGGAAAGAAGUAAAAUGAUUUUGGCCAGAAAAAAGGUAAAAAGAUUUUUCAAAUAAAAAACGUAUGAGCAUGCAAAACAGCAACCAAAAUAGUGAAAAUGAAAGCUUACCUUUUGCGUGCAAUGAAAGCAAGAGGAAGACGAUGUUUAAGUUUAGAGACGACGAAGAAGACGAGAGGAAGACGAUGAGAUACUCUGACAGUGUUCUGACAAGGAAAAAAGACAAAAAGUUUUCUCUGGGAGAUUGAAAUUUUUAAUCGGGUUUGGAAAUAGUGCAUGUGUAAGUCAGGUAGACGAAAAGUUGCUUACAUAUAAAACCAUUUUAAAAAAAUAAUACGGCGGUUACAUAUAACUACGACGUAUAAAUUACAAAAUACGACGGUACAUUUAACUUCGGACGUGAUAAAUAAAUACGACAGUAGAGUUGUAGGUACCGUCGUAGUAAACUCAAAAAUUAAAGUACAUAAGUAAUAACUCACGUCAUGGUAGAUUAUUUAACACGUCGUUUUUAUUAAUGUACCGACGUGGAUUUCUGUAAUAUAUGUCGGUCAUACCGACGUUGAUUUUACAAUUUAAACGGCGGUUUUUUUGUAAGGACCGCCGUUGGUUUUAAAAAUUUAUUCUAUAAAUUUGUCGCUUUCAUUCAUUUUCGGUUUACAUUUAGGGUUCCAAGUUCUUCCUCUCUCAGAGACACUGUCUCUCACAUCUCAAAGACAAUAAUUUGGAUGUCUUUCUCAAAGAGAAAUUGAGCUUACUCGCAUCAAAUCUAUGUCCACAAGAAGAAGCUUGUCAACUAGCCUUCUCACUUCCUUGAUCAAGCCUGAUAGGACACUUAGUGCUUCUGAAUACUCCUUGCUUUCCAUCAAAAGAGAUGCAAGCCUGGCCUCCACUCGCUGUCGAAGGAAAGUUCGCUUCUCAGGGAAAUCUGAAGAUCAGAUGUGCCUGAUCCUCUGCUUGAUUUUCUUGGCUAAGAAGAUCCGUCAAAUUUAUGAUAGCCUCUUCCUUUAUCCGUAGAGCUUCAGAAGAAGAAGAUGGGAUUCAAGAAUGCGAUAAAGAAUAGAAAUGGCUUCAGAUGGCCUCUAAAGCAUGAGCAAUCGAAUCAGUAGUUGCUGGGAGAUAUGAUGAAGACAUUGUCAAUGCUUUGAACUAUACAAGUCCUGCAGAAAGAUAAAGGACCAAACUGUUAAAGAAACAGAAACAACGGCGGUUUUCUGUUCUACCGUCGUCUUUUCUCGUCGUCUAUAUUAAGGUAAGAUGGCGGUAGAUUUAUAAUUACCGACGUAGAUUAUUUUGUUAAACGUCGUUAAGUGUAAUACAACCGACGUGGAUUUUAUUUUUAAAUUAUAAAUAGAGUUUUUUUUUCCGAAUUCUUUCAGUUUUAGUUUUCAAUUACAAAGCGUGAUAAAUAGAUUUUUCUUUCCCGAGGAAAUUUAAAAUGAGGGAAAUUAAUGUUCUAGAAUUUGUAAACUAACACGACGCAAUAUUACUAACCCGAGGAAAUUAUAAAUAGAUUUUGCUUUCCCGAAGAAAUUUUAAAUUAAUUCAGUUUGAAACAACGACAGUUUUUUGUUAUGCAGUCGUUUUUAACUAACACGACGCAAUAUUUGUUUUGCGACGUGGAAUCUUUUCAUUUAACGUCGUUAGGUUUAAUAUAACCGCCGUGAAUUUGAAUUUUUAAAUUAUGAAUAGAAUUUUUUUUUCCGUGACCUUUCAGUUUAUUUUUCAAUUACAGUGCGUUAUAAAUAGAGUUUUUUUUCCGGAGGAAAUUUAAAAUGAAGGAAAUUAAUGUUCUGGAAUAUGUAAAGUUUUUUUUUUGGAUGACAGAUUUAAAUAAAAUAAGAAUAUAAAAACAACGACUGUUUUUGUAUUACUGUCGUCGUUUUUCGUCGUCUUAAGUAAGACUCAGACGACGUAAUAUAUUUGUUGAGCGACGUUGAUUUGUUUUUUAAACGUCGUUAGGUAUAAUAUAACCGUCGUUGAAAAUUGUCUCUCUGAUUGCAAAUUUACAACGACGUUAGGUAUAAUAUUUGUAGAUACACAAACGCACACACAUCAUCAACUUCCAAAAAAUUGUCUCUCUGAUUGCAAAUCUGUGUCAUCUGUUAAGAUUAUGAUGUGGAACAGAGUUCCAUCUGGUAAGAUUUCGUAACCCUUGGGAUCUCAGAAAAAUCUGAUUAUGUCGGCGGUUUUCUAUAUAAACCGUCGUGGUUAUUUCAAUUCUUGUCAUUAAGUAGAUCUACCGACGUAGGAUAAGAAAAUCAAAGAAAAAAAUUGUUAACAAAAAUUCUUAUUAAGACGACGGUUUAAAUUAAAGGUACGACGUAUAAAAUGAAUAAAUACGACGUUAAAUUUUAUACGAUUUAAAGAUAACGUCGUAGAACUAUACGAGAAUGACGUCGAUAUAUUUAUAUUUUCCGUCGUUGUACAUUAAUUUAAUACGGCGAUAUUUUGUAUUUUAAAGCCGUGGAUUUGUUUGUAAUUAUACGGCGUCUUAUACGAAAACCUCGUCGUGUUAUUUUAUGAGUAAAAACGGCGGCUUUUAUGGAAAUCGUCGUCUUUACUUUCUACGUCGGUCGAUUCAUAACUUCUGCCGUUCUUUGUUGGCUUUGAUUUUACACUGCGGAAAUCUGUUUCAAAUAGACGUCGGUUGUUUAAUUAGGUACGUCGUUGUUUUUGAACAGCCAUUUGAAUCUCCAUUUUUUAGUUGUCUAAGGUGGUAUUACACGACGGUGUUUUUAGAACCGUAGUCUUUUUAAAAACCACGACUGUUUUCACUUUGACCGUCGUUGUUUUCUGGUUGUCUUUUUCACUUUUUGUAGUAGUGUCUUUUGGCCCUUUCAGGGCUAGGGCCCCAUUCUUCCAAGAAAAUGACAUUUAGGAUUUGGAUUUUGGGGAAUGCUAUGGUGUUAGCAUUUUCACCUCUAUGACGAUGAACGAUAUUAACAGACUUAGUUUCAAUUAGAAGAGUUUCAUAGAAAAUACAAGGCUUAUUCAAUGGAGGAAGAUUAUCCCUUAAAUAUUUUUUACCCAGAAAAUUUGGGUGUUUAUCUAGAUCAUUCAUUUCAAUGAUUGCUAUAGACAUAUUCAUAUAUUCACGGAAUGGAUUUUCAGCAAUCUGCUUCUCCUUACCCUUAUUAUAUGGAGAAGAAGACAUUAGUGGCUUUGGAUCAUUAGGGGAUGACUUGGUAAGAGCAGAAGAGCUUUUACUUGGAGUCAUUUGUCUGGAACUUCUGGUUUGCACCUUGCAAAAAUUCUCGAGUUAAAAAGUCCGGGAGUGUGUUAGUUUCAUCUUUAAUAAAUUCAAUAUCAAAAUCGAAAGCAGAAACAAUUCCUUGCCAUCUUGCAAAAUUUUGUUUAGAUGCUAGAUUUUUAACAUCCUUGAACAAAAUGUCUUUGGCCGCCUUGCAAUCUACUCUUAUAAAAAAUUUCUUGUUUAAAAGAUCACUUUCAAAUUUAGAGACAGCAUGGAUGAUGGCUAACAUUUCUUUCUUAACAGUGGAAUAAUUCUUUUGAGCUGGUUUCCAAACUCCAGAUGUGAACCUAACUAAUUGUUUCGAGUUAUCAACCCUUUGUUUUAAGAUUCCCCCAUACCCUAUUUCUACAAUUUUAAAGGGAACUUAUCAGCAAAGGAUAUUGCUCUAUUAAUCGGAACUAUUAGUCGCUUAUUAAUAUUAUGUCCCAAAAAGCGAACUUUUGAAGAAAAUAGUUUCAUUUUCUUUGCCGAUACCACUAAUCCUGCAUGUUUCACAACUUUCAAGAAAAUAUUCAGAUGUUUAAAGUGAUGUUCCAAAGAAUUAGAAUAGACUAAAACAUCAUCAAUAUAAACAAUGGUGAAAGCAUUGUAAGGAUUAAAUAUAUCAUUCAUAAUAUUUUGAAAUUCAGAAGGGGCAUUUUUCAAUCCAAAAGGUAGAAUGUUCCAUUCAUAAUGUCCAAAAGGGACAUUAAAAGCUGUUUUGUACUUGUCCUUUUCGGCGAUCUGGAUUUGCCAAUAUCCCGAUUUCAUGUCAAAUUUAGAAAAGAUAACUGCCUUAUUUAGUCUGUCCAAAAGAUCUUUCUUAUUAAGUAUCGGAUAUCUAACCCAUUUUAAGGCUUUAUUUAGAGGUUUGUAAUUUAUCACCAAUUUGGGUACUCCUCUUUCUAAUUCAGCUGCGUUUUCAACAUAAAAAGAGAAACAGCUCCAAGGAGAUGAGCUUUUCCUGAUUAACUUCUUAUUUAAUAAAGCUUGUAUUUCAAAUUUACAAAUUUUCAUUAGCCUAGCAUUCAUUUGAAUUGGCCUAGCUUUGGUUGGGAUUUUCUUUUCAUCAAAAUCAGGCUCAUAGGGUAAUUCAAUUAUGUGCCUCUUUCUGUUCCAGAAGGCAUUGGGUAUUUCCGCACAAACUUGGCUUUCGAACAUCUUUUGGAUUUCAGCAAUUUUUUCUUUUAUCUUUUUAUUUUGCAGCUGCUCUUCUAUUUUCUUAUGCUGCAUUUCUUCUUUCAAAUGGCAUAGAUAGUUUUCCUUCCUUUUUAUUUUUUCUUGGAUUUCAUUAAUAUACUUAUGCUUUUGGUUGAGAAAACCUAAAGAUUAUAGGUUGACCUUCUACCUCGGUUCUAAUUCCUUCUUCAGAGACAGAAAAAAGGUAAAGCAUAUUAAUGAAUGGUGUUCCUAAUAUAAGAGACGGGUUUAAACCUUUCAUCAGAACAAAAGGAGUUACAAAACAAAUACCCUGAUUGAGCACAGCAGCGUUAGAUAAUUUAAAUUGAAUUCCCAUUUUUUGGCUAUUAACGGCUGUAUGUAGAACCUGGGUAGUCUUCUUGAAAUACCUAGUGGGUACCACUUCCUCAUUUAUACAGUUAAGAUCGGCCUCUGUAUCUAUUAGCCCUUCAAUUGUAUAUUUAUAGGUUCUAUCAACCACAACAGUUAUCAUCGCAUACCAUUUCUGAGCUAUCACUCUAUCUAUGCUAGUGAUGAUUUUCAUGGUACAAACCUGUUCUUCUUGUAGGGAUUCAUUCACAGGUUCUAUUUUCUCUUGAAAUUCUUUCGUUAGAUUUUCAAAUUCUAAUUGCUCCGAUUUUUCCUCUGUAUCUUUUUCCGAAAAUGGGCUAUAGAGUUCUAGAAUUCUAACCCUAUUUUUUAACUCUCUAAGUUCUUCUUUCACAUCAUGAACUUCGCACUGAAGAUCAUUGAGAGUAGGUUCUUUCUUGUGAAUUAUUCAUCCUGUUCACUAUAGUUUUCAACUGGUUGUCUCACAUUAGUUGUAGCUGUCACUUGGUCCUACUUUAGCUAGUGAGAUAUAACUUUCUAACACCUCUCCCUUUUUCUCUGGAUCCUCUAUUUUGUCAAUUAAGUCUAUUACCAGACUCUCUUCUUUAGUUAAAACACAUAUUUUGAGAUCAUUGAAUUGACAGGUGCACUCAGUUUCACUAUCUGAACUAGUGUCAGUAUCAUAUUCAAAUAAUUCUUCAUUUUUGAGUUGAGCUAGUUCGUUAUCAUUAUCUUGCUCAGAAUCAGAGGAAUUAAGCAUUAUUUGGCAAAGUUGUUGCUUGAGUUCUUUGCUAAUGCUUAAGUUACUGAUUUUAUCUUUCAUUUUACAUUCGGAUUUAUAGUGUCCGACUUUUUCACAUUUGUAGCAUGUUGGGACCGCACCUUUCUUUCCUUUACUAGCCUUCUUACUAGUUUUUCCUGCGUAUUUCCUUUUUUUAAAGGUCCUAUACGGUUUCUUAGGCUCAGACUUAGACUCGUAUUUCUCAUAUUUCUUAGUCCUACGCCCCCCAAAUUUCUUUCCCUUUUUAUGUGGUUUAUGUGAAUAUGAUUUUACUGGUUCAAAACUAAAUUGUUCACAAAAGUCUCCUAAUUCUUUUCUUCCCAAGGUUUUCUGCUUAUCAAGCUGUUUCUUUAGUUUCAUGUCUGUGCAUUUGGGCUAAGUGCCACCAUCCUUUCAAUUGACCAACAAAACUCGCGAUAAUAGCUUCAGCCACCCUUCUAUCUCCAUUUCCUUUUUAUCUUAGAGGCUGUAGCGUACAUCAUCAUAUGUUUCAUUGUAUUAAUGAUCUGAUAUUCUGUCAGACCAUCAAUAUUCCAUUCAACUAUGGAGCUUCCGUCAUAUUGAGCGGAAUUCCACAUUCCAUCUUCCUCAAAUUGUAAAUCUACUGGUGCAGGUCUAGGGUAGUAGUUUUUAGUUUUAGCAGUUUGAGUAAAUCUAUUUUCAGUCAUUAACCUAUUUAUUUCAGGUUGUUCUUGUUUAAACAUUGUUUCAAGGUUAUCUAUUUCCUCCUCAGUGAGAACCGACACUUGAUGACCUUUUCUUUUAUCUGACAAAUUUAACCCUGAUAAUUUUUUGGCCAAGGCGUCAACAAAGUUUUCGUCUUCAGACAAAGUCCUUCCCAUCUUAAAGUUUUUUAUUAUCUAAGGCAGGAGGUGGUUUAAAGAAUGCUUGACUCACUUCCUUAUUUCUUUUAGUUUCUGAGGGUCCUGGUUCUGAUUUCUGUUCCUUCAUUGAAACAGAUGUUUCAAUCCUGGUAACUUGCUUUCCUAAAGAUUGCAAAAAUAGGUUGGUGUAGUUAUUCUGCUGAAUGACCGCACCUAUAUCUUCUUUACUGGCUGUGCAAAAAUUAUUGGCACUAUCUUCAAGGAAAGUAGUUUCUUUGUAGGGAGCUGCAAUUACGUCCUUUUGUUUUAUCACCAUCUCGGGUGGAUGUCUGGCUUUGACUAACUGUCCAUCUUUGGAAGUAUAAGUCAAAAAUGGGCUUCCUAUCAUUUCUAUAUUAUUCAUGUAUUCAUGAAUGUUAUAUUUUUUAGCACACCAAUCUAACCAAGCAAAGAAAAAAUAGUUGAAUUUCUUUUCUUUCAUGAAAGUGGUGUGGGCUUUCCAGAGAUGGUCUUGCCUAUCCUUCCUAAAGGUUGUUUCAAACCAAAUUCUUUUAUCAACAUUUUCAAUACUCAGAUAAUCUCUUUUAAUCUUUUUGUGUUCGAUUUCAAAAGAUUUUAUCAUAUUUAUUUCAAAUUCAACAUCUAAAAAUGUUGGUUCAGGUUGAGGCGGAUUCCUUCUAAAACUUAGGUCUGGAAUGGUUUGUUCGAACCUAUAGGCUGGGCUCUGUAUUUGUUCUUGAGUUCUCCUAAGUCCUGCUAGAACCAUUCUUUCAUGUUCUAGAUCAUAGGCUCUAUCAGGGGAGGUGCUUGAUCUAUGUGGUUCUAGGUUAGAUCUAGAGGGUGCCAAAUCAAUCCUAGUUCUUCUAGCACUGGAGAAUUGUAUAUUUCUACCUCUCCAUCAGCGAAUUGCAAGAUCCGUGUAGGCUCCUGAUUUUCAAGGGGCUUUUUUGGGGCUACUUCAUCCAAAAUCCAUUUUUCUGGUAGAGUUAUAUCACUCCAUUUUAUCAUUUUUGGGACUGCCACGUUUGACUUUUCAAGGUUGGUUUGGAACAAGGUAGUUUCACCUUUACUGUCUAAGUCUUUAGCUUUGGGACAGACAAUGUUCAUAACCUUAUAUGAAACCCUAUAAAUGAUUGCUAGAUUUUGGGAUCUUGGGUCCAUAUCAUAAUCCUGAGUUUGAAUAUUCAACGUUAAGGCUUUUAAGACAUUUAUAUCAGAAAGUGCAACAGAAAAGUUUGGAAAACAGUUAAAAUAUAUCGGGCCUUCCCCUAAGGUUGACCCGACUAUUCCUAACAAAGAAUCCGUGAACUUUCUAAGUCUUCCAUCUCUUACACAUAGCAAGAUUGAAUUGGGCAAUCCUGUUCUGGUAAGUGGUUUCACCGCUAUCUGCACCAAGCCUAUGUGCAAAUAGUUAUAUUUUUUAUCCAGAUGCUGGUUGAUUUGACGCUGAGUAAAUAGCUGGAAACUAUCAUUUUUAUCAAUGACAGAUAUAGUUUUUUCAACAGUUUUUAUUGCAUAAUCAGAUCUAAAAUUGAAAGAUCCUUUAUAGUAGAUAUCAGUGAUGGGUACUCUGGGUAUAUCCCAGUUGCAUAACUCCUUUUCUACUUCUCGCAUGGAUAUUUCUUGAGAGUUUUUCACCCUUAGGGUUUUAUGGCUAGAACUGCUACUAACACCUGCAUCUCCAGAAGAACGAGUAGACAAGAUUCUCCUAAGGCUUGCAAUUUUAAUAGUCUGGGUUUUAUGCUUUCCUUAUGUUCUCCUCCUAAUUCAAGGUUGCUAGUCCCUGCCUAGGUCACUUCAACGCCUUACACCUUUCUAGCAAUGGCCAACGAGCCUAUCCGACAGCUAGACAACUCGAUGACUAGUGAGUAAAGGAAACUUGACAGAAAACCUUCAAACUAACAACUCUUCUAGGGACUUUAGGCUUUGAUACCAGGUACUGGCUGGGCCUCUUAAGAGCAAAUUUUUAAUCAAUUUUUUGCUUUAGUUUAUGCGCGGAAGGUAGUGUAGAGAUGUAGAGAAUAAACAGAAUAAUUAUCAAAAAUUUAAACAUACAAAGCCAAAAGCAGGGAUAAGAAUAUAACGAAAUUAAAAACGAUAUUAACGAUAACAUUAAUAUUUAGCAAACUUACAUAAAAGUAGAAGGGCAGUAGUGCUUAACAAAAGCUUCGCAGAAGCAGCACUUGGAAUAUAAAAACACUCAAGCACUCAAACACUCAAAAGUACAAAGUUUAUUUCUGGAGGCGAUAAUUUUGCGAUAUAUAUAUCCUCUCAUAUAAGUCCAAAUUAUCUUGAUAUUUACCCAUCGCAUUAUGAUAUUUGUCUUUAAAGAAUUAAUUAACAUACAUAUCACCACGCAGAAAAUUGAUUUAUGUCUUCAAGAUGUCUAUAGAGCAUUAUUAAACUAACCCGAAAAUAAAUCUAUAUUUUUAUUCUUAGUGCAAUGUGGAAAUAUCUUUAAAGAAUAGAAUAUUUCACCAAUAUAGCAGAGCGGCUAUACCCAACAAAUAGAAAAUUCAAUACUCUAACCGAGCGGCUAUACUCUAUAAAUAGAAAAUUUUUAAAUGUACAACUGCAUGGCUAUACGCUUUAAAUAGAAAUUUCAAAAUUAUAGCCGCCCGGCUAUACUAGUUAGAAAUUUUCCAACAGUAUAGUCGCACGGAUAUACAAAAUUGCUUUUCUCAUCCAACGAAGUAGUUUUUCAUUCUUAUUUUUUUCGUAAUGGGGCGGGUCAGGGAACUAAUUCUGCAAUGAAGGCUGGUAUGGGCCAAUGGCGGAUUGAAGACCGGCAUAUUCUGAAUAUGGGCACCAAUAUACCGGUCGACUAGUUCUCCAAGCCAGUGGCAGUGGUUGCAGUUGAUUUCCCCCAUUAUCACCUAUUGGACAACCUUUGCCUUUUCUGUGUCUUGGUGUUUCACCAUUUUGGCCAACCAUAGUCUCCAGUACCUCGGCCAUACUUAAUUCCAGUCACCUUAAAUGUAACCGAAAAUACUUGCUCGAACUCAUUCAUUUUGGCCCGCCCUAGUUGACUCCCAUUUAUUUGUCUGCUAUUCUAGAUCUAGUCAUUAUCAAUCACCAUAAUAAAGCUCCACUCUUGUAGUUUCAGUUUCACCUGUGCCUUUGAUUAUUUAGAACAAUUUAGACUUUAAUGAUAUGGUCACGGUUACAGCACAAAAGACAAAUACCAAAAGCGGCCCUCGUGAAGAAGGGUAUGGUCAUUGGUCACCCUCAGUUUCACCUGUGCCUUCUCAUCACUUUCAUUCUCGCCUCCUCAUCACUCUCUGUCGUCUGUGGUGCUCAGGAGCACCACCACCACAACGGCAUUAUCAGCCAUGGAGCUCUCUCCGACACCGAAGCCCUCUACAUCAAGCAGCGCCAGCUUCUCUACUACGGGGACGAGUUCGGCGACCGAGGCGACCUAGUCACGGUCGACCACCAUCUCUGGUUUUUGAGAACCAGAGAAUCAGAAAUGCUUACAUGGCUUUACAAGCUUGGAAGCAAGCCAUUCUCUCCGACCCGCUUAAUCUCACGGGUAAUUGGGUCGGAUCUAAUGUCUGCAACUGUAUUCAAUUUAAUCAACUGUAGGAUUCAUUUACAAGGCGAGUGGAAGGAGUCAUCAAUUUUGAAUUAACAAGUUUCUACUUUAACGUAUAACAACUAUGUUCAUAUUUAUUGGCUGGAUAACUUGUUAUAUUCAGCCAAUUACUUGGAUAACGUAUGCACUUAAGGUGCAAGUGCUUUGACAUUUGUGCCACAUAGAAUUACAUUCCUUUUUAAAUAUUUUAUGAUAUAAUUUUUUUUUUAUUUUUAAAAUUUUGAAAUCAUUUUUUGGUCCAAUGUUACCCCUUAUGACUUGAAUUGGGUAAUAGUCAUUUAUGUCAUAUUGCCUACUACCUAUUGCAUAGGUAUAUAUAUAUAUAUAUAUUUUUUUUUUUUCAUAUUUUCGACAAUGUGUCAUAGUAUUUUAUGUACCUUUUUUUAAUAGGUAACAUAUAAUUUUAUUUUGUCUAUUUUUGUAUCUGACUUAUGGGUAGUCUUCUAAUUUAUGUUCCUAACUUAUAGAUAACACGAUUUAUCACUAAAUAUUUUUCGUUGCUAAUAAUAACACUAUUUACUUGUAUGUCAUGUACAUAAUUUAAUAUGGGUGCUUGUCUGAUCGAUUGGUAUAAUAUGUGGGUCUUUACUUUUUAUUAAUUAAAUCGUAUUUUAUCCAUAUAUUAGGAAUAUUAUCAAAGAAAGAAUUUAAAUUUUAAAUUAUGAAAUUCAAUUACAAGGAAAUAAUGCAUUAAAUUUAGAUUUUCAAUGUGGUUUCCUUAUUUGCCUCAAAGGGUAAAAUUGACACAACAAAAAAAAGUAAUAAAUGUCAAAGGACUUACGUCUAAAACCAAAAACGCGAGCACUAAACCCAAUGAUAGCUAAUCGUUUUGGGCCUAGAUCUAAGAAGCCCUUUUAUUUAUUAUCUAACAUCGUUGCAUGCCAUUGAUAGUGUGCCUAUGGAUGAGGAAGAGAAAGUUGUGCUUGACUGAUGAUUGACGGAAACUUUCGCAAGUAAAUCCUCGAUGCUACUGGUUGAAGGCCCUUUGAUGUUAAAGUUAGCUUAAGGGGAUGAGCGCAAGCUAUCGACAAUGCAAGGGCAUAAGUGUCAAGUAGCAAGUCUUACCCUGUAUCUAGGGUAAGGAGUUAUAUAUAUAGGGAAUUCUGGGUUUUUUUGGGUGCUUAGUUUCGAUGUGGGACUCGUGGGAGUGCCUUCCAAGGCUAACACGCGUCCCAGCAAAUAUCCUAGCGAUGAACUCAAGAACAUCCUGCAAGAUGCCUUCUAAGGCGUAGAAUUUGGCAAGGCAUGCCGAACACACUUACCGGUCGUGGGCCGAUCAGUGAACAAUUGGCGAAUGGAGCUAGAAGCGUCUGCCGUUUGUAGGAUUAGACCUACCAGGAUGGGUUACAGGGCCAUGUUGUGCGUAGAAUCGGUCGUGGGUGCCGAAAAGACCUACCGAUUAGUACUACUGGGCUUGCCAGGGCGGGCCAUGGAGCCUUCCUUCACGUGUCAUGGCAUGAGAUGCGGGUCAGGUAUGAUACAAACAAACUUAAAUUAAUUAAACCCAUCAUGCAAUGCAUUCCCUUUCAAUUUUUUGUGAUAAACUCAUAGAUAAUUGACUAAAUAAACAUCAUCCAAAGUUUCAAUAAAAAUUACCAAGUUUUUUUUACAAUUUCCGUAGUUUUUAUUCAAUUUUUAUCGAUAUCGAUAAUAUCCCGAUAUUUCCAUCAAAAUUUCCGUGUUUUUGAACUAUCGAUAUUUUUAAUACCAUCAAUAUUUUAUACCUUGGCUGUAGGCAUUGAUUAUCAAACUAAUUAUCAGGGGACCAGUUGUUGGAUGACACUUGGGCCAGAUUAGAAGUGCAUUAAAUGUUUCCUUUAGUAAUUCUUGGAAACCUGUGCAAGCUAGAUUGCUUAUAGAGGCGAUCUGUGGUGGAUUUUCCAGUUGUUUUUUAUUUUCUUAUGCUUGAUUUAAUCAAGAAGUGUGAAGGAGUUAUUAUCUAACAUCGUUGCAUGCCAUUGACUAUGGAUGAGGAAGAUAAAGUUGUGCUUGACUGAUGAUUGACGGAAACUUUCGCAAGUAAUCCUCUCUAGCAUUGCUCGUGCCGGAAGUGUAAUUGAGGAGCUGUAUGGGUUUGGUGUUGUGUGAUGAGUAUAUUAAGGCGUAUCAAGGGUAUUUUUGGUAGUUAAAUAGGAUGUACUUAGUUAAUUUUAUAUUUUAAUUUAAAUAUUUGGGUGUACUUAGAUCAUAAGGUGUACUCAGUUAAUUUUAGAAUUCGUUUAACCACACUAUAUUAUUAUUAAUAGUUUUCUAUCAAAACAAACCCUUAAGGUCCUUAACUAUUGGCUUGCAGCCACAUAUAAUUACUGUGGUGACCUUCUCGAAUCAUCAAUUUUUAUUCAUUUAAGUUGUUGAUCAACUGCUGCAGGCAAGUUAUUCUCCUGAACUCGAGUCCCAUCAAGAGCGGGUCAAGGGGGUGAGUAAUUGUCUCAAUUCCACACGUAAACAAACAAAGGCUCACAAAACUCUCCAAAAUAUACGCAUUAAUUCUUUGCUUCUUUUCCCUUUAUAAGAAGAAGAAAGCCGUCUAAUUCAUCAUCACCAACACAAGCAAACUCAACAUCAACAAUGUCGACAAAGUCUAGCAUUACCGUCCUUGCCUUUGCCUUUUGUUUCUUGUCCCUCCUCAGUUUCGCUUACUCCAACACCACCGACGACAAAAUCUCUACCUCACCGGCCUGGUCUACUGUGACAACUGCCAAUUGAAGUCUAUGACCGAGAUGAGUAAGAUGAUAAGAUUUGAAUAUGAGAUUUAUGCAUGCAUGCAUGCACAUUGCCCAUUGAUCAGGUGCACAUCUUUUUAUCUUUUACUUUACUAAUUCUUAAUUAAGAUUCAAUUUAGGACCUAUUUAAAGAGAAGAAAAAUACGAUUUAAAAUAUAUCUUAUAACCUAAUAAUCU